CAGCCAUGCCGCGUGUGUGAAGAAGGCCUUCGGGUUGUAAAGCACUUUCAGUCGUGAGGAAAGGUUAGCGGUUAAUACCCGUUAGCUGUGACGUUAGCGACAGAAGAAGCACCGGCUAACUCCGUGCCAGCAGCCGCGGUAAUACGGAGGGUGCGAGCGUUAAUCGGAAUUACUGGGCGUAAAGCGCACGCAGGCGGAUUGUUAAGCUAGAGGUGAAAGCCCCGCGCUCAACGUGGGAAUUGCCUUUAGAACUGGCAGUCUAGAGUCUUGGAGAGGGGAGUGGAAUUCCAGGUGUAGCGGUGAAAUGCGUAGAGAUCUGGAGGAACAUCAGUGGCGAAGGCGACUCCCUGGCCAAAGACUGACGCUCAUGUGCGAAAGUGUGGGUAGCGAACAGGAUUAGAUACCCUGGUAGUCCACACCGUAAACGCUGUCUACUAGCUGUUUGUGUAUUUAAUACGUGAGUAGCGAAGCUAACGCGCUAAGUAGACCGCCUGGGGAGUACGGCCGCAAGGUUAAAACUCAAAUGAAUUGACGGGGGCCCGCACAAGCGGUGGAGCAUGUGGUUUAAUUCGAUGCAACGCGAAGAACCUUACCAGGACUUGACAUCCAGAGAACUUUCCAGAGAUGGAUUGGUGCCUUCGGGAACUCUGAGACAGGUGCUGCAUGGCUGUCGUCAGCUCGUGUCGUGAGAUGUUGGGUUAAGUCCCGCAACGAGCGCAACCCUUGUCCUUAGUUGCCAGCAUUUAGUUGGGCACUCUAAGGAGACUGCUGGUGACAAACCGGAGGAAGGUGGGGACGACGUCAAGUCAUCAUGGCCCUUACGUCCUGGGCUACACACGUGCUACAAUGGCAGGUACAGAGGGAAAGCGAGACAGCGAUGUGGAGCGGAACC
rnacentral:rRNA from 1 species